UUGCAGAUUAGAUGGCAUGCAUUUCAACUUAAUCCUUCUGCCCCAAAAGAAGGCAUCAAUAAGAAAGAGUAUUGCAAGAACAAGUUUGGAUCUCAAAUUGAGAGGAUAGAAGCUCGGAUGUCAGAGGUUUUAGGGGCCAUCGAUUGGAAUAUAACCUUUCAGGACUCACGGGAAAUACUCUAGACAGCCACAGCUUAUGCAUUUCGCUGGGCAACAUAAGCAACAUAAUCUUAUGGAGGUGCUCUCUCUUGGCUACUUCACUCAGACAAAAUUUAUUGGUGACAAGUAAGUUGGGCUGUAAUGUUUGAUCUUUAGAUUUUCUAAAUGUUUAGGCUGUUUGCAUAAAUUUUAUUUUCCUGUAAACAAUUCUUAAAAUUAUUUUUCUUAUAGAUUGAUGUUUUGUUUAACAUGAAUACCAUGUAGAAUGCACCCCUCCUCCUCCAAAAACUAAAAAUAAAUUCUUUCAAAGAUCAUGAGUUAUUAGAGACUAAACAACUAGACAGAUCUUCAUUUUGACCUUAGCUCCACAUGUUCAACUCACUUAUCAAAAUAAAAUUGUAGGAAAUUUAUUGCUUUCUAGAACCAAAAUUUCUUCAAUUAUUGACCAUUCUACUUUAGUUUGAUAUGGCACUGGCAGUCAACUGAAAUUACUAGUCCCCAGCAGUUUGUGCAAAGAGUCACUUCUUUGCAUAAAAUAUAAAUUGAAGCUUCUUAGAUUGUGGAAGAAUCUAUUGCAGAGAGAUAAUUAGAGUCAAAGCAAUUAUGUUACUAUUGCAAUUCUUAUAAUUCUUUUGAAUAAGAGUAUGAAAUUGAAACUUUGAAAGUUUUUUGCCUGUUUGUUGUUGGUUCUUCUAACUACCAGAAAAUUUCAUUUAUUGUUGUUUUGGUUAUCAUUAGUUGUCUCAUGAAAGAAAAGCUUUAAUCAAUUUGAAUAUUUUUAGUGGAAACUGAGCUAUGGGUUUGAAUUUUUUAUGAUUCAUAUGUUAGAAAUUGAGAUUGGUAUUGAUGGUGAGAUAGGUUUAUAUAGUAGAAAGGAGAUUAAUUGAAUCAUAAUGGUCUCUAAGGUUAUCAAUUUGAAAGUUUAAGGGAUAUUGAUAAGUAGGUUUGAUUUUUUAAUGAUUAGAGUUUUGAACAUAAUGGUUUCUUCUAUUAAUGUUUCUUGAAUGUUGGCUGAAAAUUGGAUUCCUAUGGCUAGAUUGCUGAAUAAAUAUAUUGAUUGAAAUUCAUAUAGAUUGUCAGAUUGAUCGUUGCUCAUUCUCUCUCAAUCGUGCGUUAUAGUCCGCCCCCUCAAUCUUUGCCUUUUAUUAACGCCACCACCAAGGUUUGCUACUUUCCUCUAAUUUUUUUUUUUUUUUCUAGCCUAUUUAUGUAUAAAAUAUAUGAUAGUUGGCCAUCACAAAACCUUCUUGAAGGUUGUCCA